UCCAAAGUCAUGAUGAUUUUCCCUAUCUUCUUCAUAUCUUUCUUCACUUUCUCCUCUUCCUAUGCUGCUGUGCAGGACUUCUGCGUAGCAGACUACUCAGCUCCUCAAAGCCCUGCAGGCUACUCUUGCAAAAACCCUUCAAAUGUCACAGUAGAUGAUUUUGUGUACUCUGGCCUAGGAGUUGCCGGUAACACCUCAAAUGCAAACAAAAUUGGGAUCACCCCUGCAUUUGCUGGUCAGUUUCCUAGUCUGAAUGGCCUUGGCCUUUCUCUGUUACGCGAGGAUUUGGAAGUUGGCGGAAUUGGCCCGCUCCACUUACACCGCGGCGCUUCAGAAAUCAUACAUGUUGUUAAAGGAACAAUAAUUGCAGGGUUCAUCGCCACGGAUAAUACAGUCUAUACAAAAACUCUGAAGCAGGGUGAUAUAAUGCUUUUUCCUCAAGGUUUGCUCCACUUCCAGAAAAAUGUAGGUGAUAUAUACCAGCCCUUGUAUUUGCUUGCUUCAGUAGUGAAAACCCGGGCUUGCAGAUAGUGGAGGUUGCAUUGUUUCAAAGCGCUCUACCUACUGAGUUGAUAUCACAGACGACUUUCCUUGACACUGCUGAGAUUAAGAAACUUAAGGGUAUCUUUGGUGGUACUAAUUGAUGUAACCAGAUCAAUAUACCAAAAAUAGGAAUGUGCAUGAUAACUGAUAAGUGAUUACUAAAUAACUUGGUGGUACUGUAUUUUUGGAUGAUUACUUAGAAUUUGUAUUGUGUGUUGCUUAUUGCUUCAGGCAUGCAGGACUUGUAUUCACUUGGUCUCACCAUAUUAUGGUGCUCCCUAUAAGUUGUUAUCCCACUUGGAAUUCAAAUUAAUAAUAUUGUUCACAGGUUUU